rnacentral:rRNA from 1 species
CAUCACCUCAAGUGGUCAGGAUGAUUAUUGGGCCUAAAGCAUCCGUAGCCGGCGCUGUAAGUUUUCGGUUAAAUCUGUACGCUCAACGUACAUGCUGCCGGGAAUACUGCAGCGCUAGGGAGUGGGAGAGGUAGACGGUACUCGGUAGGAAGGGGUAAAAUCCUUUGAUCUAUUGAUGACCACCUGUGGCGAAGGCGGUCUACCAGAACACGUCCGACGGUGAGGGAUGAAAGCUGGGGGAGCAAACCGGAUUAGAUACCCGAGUAGUCC